UACGUAGGGUGCGAGCGUUGUCCGGAAUUAUUGGGCGUAAAGAGCUUGUAGGCGGUUUGUCGCGUCUGCUGUGAAAAUCCGGGGCUCAACUCCGGACUUGCAGUGGGUACGGGCAGGCUAGAGUGGUGGUAGGGGAGACUGGAAUUCCUGGUGUAGCGGUGGAAUGCGCAGAUAUCAGGAGGAACACCGAUGGCGAAGGCAGGUCUCUGGGCCACUACUGACGCUGAGAAGCGAAAGCAUGGGGAGCGAACAGG
rnacentral:rRNA from 1 species